GCACCCGUAGCUCAGCUGGAUAGAGCACCAGACUACGAAUCUGGGGGUCAGGAGUUCGAAUCUCUUCGGUGCGCCA
rnacentral:tRNA from 1 species